rnacentral:miRNA from 1 species
GACAGCUCGCUCAGCUGGCU